GAACAACAAGUACAGAGAAAGAGAUGGGCUUGAGAAAAUAAAGACUGACUAGGCAAUAACAAGGAACAUCACCUACAACGUCCUGUGCUAAAGUGAAUCAUUUUUACAAGACUAUCAAAAAAAAAAAAAAAAAAUCCGCUUUAACAACAACAAAAACAGAGGGGAGCCCCUAGUGGAUUACCAAUACAUCUCGUCCAUAGCCAAGCUGCCUUAUUAGCGUUUCAACUGUCCUGCAGUAGCACUAGCAUUUACAACGGAAGAAACAGAAUAGAUCCCAUCACUACCCUUUUCGGUUUGCACAGCACCAUUUCUGGAUUGCUCCUUACGGAUCAUUCCAUCAACCAGAAUCCGCUUGUUGUUGUUAUUACUAAAUUUAUGCUGCUGCUGAGCAGACUCUUUAACGGCUCCUUUGGUUUCUUUCUCUUUGGCGGCUAAGAAGGCGAGUCUUUCCAAAGCUUCUCUUGCUCUCUUCUUAGCCAAAGCAGCCUCCUUGACCCUCCUCUCCGCUUCAACCCUGGCGACAGCUGCGGCUUUCGUCAUGGAGACAGCGGCAAUUUUGGCAGCAGCGACGAGUGCUCUGGCAGAGUCCUUAUCAAUGGGCCUCCCACUGUUUGUGUUAUCAUUGGUGGAGGAGGAGUCGAGGUUAAAAAAGGAGAAAUUAGGGGUGGAGCAAGGGGGGCAGAGAAAGGAAGGAGGGGAAUGAGGGUGAGAGCAAGGAACGCAGGAGAGGUGGGAGAUGGAAGGGCAUUUGAGGCACAUGAGGCGCUCCUUGGGGGGAAGAGACUCCUCGAACACUUGGAAGCAGAAGGGGCAGAAGAGACCCUGGUGGGUCUUCAAGAUGCAAUUGGUGCAAAGGCGACGGUAGGCGGCUCUGUGGCGGACGUUGUGGAGGACCCAGCGCCUGUCUCCACCGCAACCCCCGCAUUGGGACUGGUGAUCUCUGUUCAUUUGUAAAUUGUGAUUAAUUACUAUGAGAAUAUGAAUGGGAGUAGCAUGAGGAGAUUGAUCUGUAAGAAGUAACCCUAAGGAGUAGAGAGAGAUUAGGGUUAAAAGUACUUGGAAAUGGAUUGUGGUGCAGAGGACUUGCUUCUGCCAAAUAGGAAUGAUCGAUUUCGAAAUUUGGAAUGGCGAAGCCCAGGAACGAAGCAGAAGCCAAGCGCGGAGAAUUUCUUUAUUUUAUUUUUUA
rnacentral:misc_RNA from 1 species